rnacentral:tRNA from 1 species
GCCAGGGUGGUGAAACGGUAGACACGCAAGGUUUAGGACCUUGUAGCUGCAAGGCUGUGGAGGUUCAAGUCCUCUCCCUGGCA